CUACUGCUGAGGAGUCCCACAAUAGGACGAAACGGCUGUCCAAUAC
rnacentral:hammerhead_ribozyme from 1 species